rnacentral:rRNA from 1 species
UACGUAGGUGGCAAGCGUUGUCCGGAUUUAUUGGGCGUAAAGGGCGCGCAGGCGGUUCGUUAGGUCCGAGGUGAAAUCUCCCGGCUCAACUGGGAGGGGUCUUCGGAUACCGGCGGGCUUGAGGUAAGCAGAGGUGAGCGGAAUUCUGGGUGUAGUGGUGAAAUGCGUAGAUAUCCAGAGGAACACCAGUGGCGAAGGCGGCUCACUGGGCUCCACCUGACGCUGAGGCGCGAAAGCGUGGGGAGCGAACCGG